AACCUGCCCAAGAAAUCGGGAUAACACCUGGAAACAGAUGCUAAUACCGGAUAACAACAGAUGAUGCCUAUCAACUGUUUAAAAGAUGGUUCUGCUAUCACUCUUGGAUGGACCUGCGGUGCAUUAGCUAGUUGGUAGGGUAACGGCCUACCAAGGCGAUGAUGCAUAGCCGAGUUGAGAGACUGAUCGGCCACAUUGGGACUGAGACACGGCCCAAACUCCUACGGGAGGCAGCAGCU
rnacentral:rRNA from 1 species